GAUGAACGCUGGCGGCGUGCCUAAUACAUGCAAGUCGAGCGAACGGACGCGAAGCUUGUUUCUUUGUUGUUAGCGGCGGACGGGUGAGUAACACGUGGAUACCCUCCCUAUAAGUCUGGGAUCACUUCGGGAAAGCGUAGCCAAUACCGGAUCCUCUUUUGAUCCGUAUGGUUCAAAAGUGAAAGACGGUCUUGCUGUCCCUUAUAGAUGGAUCCGCGCUGCAUUAGCUAGUUGGUAAGGUAACGGCUUACCACGGCAACGAUGCAUAGCCGACCUGAGAGGGGGAUGGGCCACACUGGACCGGGACCACGGUCCAGACGCCUACGGGAGGCAGCAGUAGGGAAUCGUCGGCAAUGGGCGAAAGCCUGGCGGAACAACGCCACGUGAGUGAUGAAGGUCUUCGGAUCGGAAUACUCUGUUAUGAGGGAAGAACAGAUGUGUAAGUAACUGUGCACAUCGUGACGGUACCUAAUCAGAAAGCCACGGCUAACUACGUG
rnacentral:rRNA from 1 species